rnacentral:rRNA from 1 species
GACAGAGGGGGCAAGCGUUGCUCGGAAUUACUGGGCGUAAAGGGCGCGUAGGCGGGCUGGCAAGUCGGUCGUGAAAUCCCUCGGCUCAACUGAGGUACGUCGAUCGAUACUGCCGUUCUUGAGGGUUGCAGAGGAGACUGGAAUUCCCGGUGUAGCGGUGAAAUGCGCAGAUAUCAGGAGGAACACCGGUGGCGAAGGCGGAUCUCUGGGCCGUAACUGACGCUGAGGAGCGAAAGCAUGGGGAGCGAACAGG